rnacentral:rRNA from 1 species
AACGAACGCUGGAGGCAGGCCUAACACAUGCAAGUCGAGCGAGGACUUCGGUCCUAGCGGCGGACGGGUGAGUAACGCGUGGGAACGUGCCCUUUGCUUCGGAAUAGCCCUGGGAAACUGGGAGUAAUACCGGAUGAGCCCUUUGGGGGAAAGAUUUAUCGGCGAAGGAUCGGCCCGCGUUGGAUUAGGUAGUUGGUGGGGUAAUGGCCUACCAAGCCGACGAUCCAUAGCUGGUUUGAGAGGAUGAUCAGCCACACUGGGACUGAGACACGGCCCAGACUCCUACGGGAGGCAGCAGUGGGGAAUCUUAGACAAUGGGGGAAACCCUGAUCUAGCCAUGCCGCGUGAGCGAUGAAGGCCUUAGGGUUGUAAAGCUCUUUCAGCUGGGAAGAUAAUGACGGUACCAGCAGAAGAAGCCCCGGCUAACUCCGUG